rnacentral:rRNA from 1 species
AGAGUUUGAUCCUGGCUCAGAAUGAACGCUGGCGGCGUGCCUAACACAUGCAAGUCGUACGAGAAAGGGGCUUCGGCCCUGAGUAGAGUGGCGCACGGGUGAGUAACGCGUGGGUAAUCUACCCUUGGAUUUGGGAUAACUCUGCGAAAGUGGAGCUAAUACCGGAUAGUCUGGCUUUUAAUAGAAGUCGGUAAAGGAUGCCUCUGCAUAUGCAUUCGUCCGAGGAUGAGCCCGCGUCUCAUUAGCUAGUUGGUAGGGUAAUGGCCUACCAAGGCAACGAUGAGUAGCUGGUCUGAGAGGAUGAUCAGCCACACUGGAACUGAAACACGGUCCAGACUCCUACGGGAGGCAGCAGUGGGGAAUAUUGCGCAAUGGGCGAAAGCCUGACGCAGCAACGCCGUGUGAGGGAUGAAGGCUUUCGGGUCGUAAACCUCUGUCGGAAGGGAAGAACGGGCAUUGGUCUAAUAGGCCUUUGUUUUGACGGUACCUUUAGAGGAAGCACCGGCUAACUCCGUGCCAGCAGCCGCGGUAAUACGGAGGGUGCAAGCGUUAUUCGGAAUUACUGGGCGUAAAGCGCACGUAGGCCGCUUUGUAAGUCAGGGGUGAAAUCCCACGGCUCAACCGUGGAACUGCCUUUGAAACUGCAGAGCUUGAAUCCUGGAGAGGGUGGCGGAAUUCCUGGUGUAGGAGUGAAAUCCGUAGAUAUCAGGAGGAACACCGGUGGCGAAGGCGGCCACCUGGACAGGCAUUGACGCUGAGGUGCGAAAGUGUGGGGAGCAAACAGGAUUAGAUACCCUGGUAGUCG